rnacentral:sRNA from 1 species
GAGGAGGAGCCUAUAUGACGAAGUCAUGUGUGAAAAAUGGCUCCGCCGACCUGCCGCAGAGCGCAAGCGAAGGGGCAUUACAUAU